GGUUGCUGUAGAAACCGCGUCCAUGGCGGCGCCGAGACUUGUAUCCAGCCGCAGCGUGCUGCGUGAGGAGGCGAGCGGCUCCGCGGAUUCGCCGAUCACUACGCGCACGCCGGUGCCCGCAGUGUCGCCCGGGUCUCCCGAAGUGCUCGUGUCACCCCCGCAGGUCGUCGAGCCGCCGGGGAAGAGCCUAUGGGAUCAGAUCUGCGAGGAGUAUGAAGCUGAGCAGCCGACCUUUCCAGAAGGCUAUAAAGUGAAGCAGGAAGCUGCGGUUACAGUGAGCUCAGUCACGCCCUUGGAGGAAUUGGUUCCUCAUGGCUUCAACAUGGAGCACUACCUCCCAAUACACCAGUUCCCAGCGAUGCCUCCUGUGCCCUGUCCUCCCAAGAAGGCAGAAACAGUCGAGCCCAAGACCUGUUCACCCAGAGAUUAUCUGGAAAUGUUCAUCUUUCCAGUUCUGCUCCCUGGAAUGGCCAGCCUGCUUCACCAAGCAAAGAGAGAAAAAUGUUUUGAGAGGAAGAGAACCAAAUUCAUUGCCUGCGAUUUCCUGACUGAGUGGCUGUACAAAAUCCGAAGAGGGCAGGGGAGUCAUUCACAGAAUUCUUCUCCAUUCCAUUUGUGGAAGACUGGCUCAAGGACCACUGCUAGACUCCCUACUUCCACGUUAGCUGCUCUUCCCUUCUCUGGUCACUCUUCUGGACAGCUUGCAUUCUAGCCCGCGGCCACCAAUUCCACUCUCCCUGCUACUGACAGAAGAAGAAGCAGCAGUCAGGAUCCAGGCCUUCUGGAGAGCCUAUCUGGUUCGCUGUGACCCUGAGAUUCAGGAGCUGCGGCAGUGGCAGAAGAAGCUGCGCGAGGACAAGCACAUCCGCCAGCGGGUGAAGAUCUUCUGGGCCAAGCAGGAGCAGAAAAUGAAAUGUAAAAUGGAGGACGAGGAAGCACCGGCUGCCUCAGCACCAUAUCCUUAGCCGACGUCAGUUGCUCCGUAUGGAAGGAUGAUGUAUCCAGUCUGUACUUUCCCUAGUACGGUGUCUUUAACAAGCCUUAGUGUGGUGGAUACAGAACCCUUUGAACGUGAGGAGGGAUUUGUUGCCGAGAAGCCAAAGCACUUUAGCUUCCUGCCUGACCCCAAAUCCUCUCCACGGUGUCAGCAACAUCCUCUGAGCUGUCACUAUUGGCAUGCCUCGUGACCGUGUCCUCUGACACCAGUGUUCCCACUUUUGCCAAGAUCCCUAUUUUAACUUACCUCCGAUCUCUGUGUUGUUUUGCCUUGGUUUUGGGGUGUUGGGGUAACCAGUGGGGCCAAGGCUCUAGCACUGAGUUGUUUCCAGCCCAAUAAGAGGCAGUUGUCAGAAAGGAUUUCCAUUGUUAAAGCCCCAAAGUAUUACAGCAGUGCCCUAUUAACUUAAUGGUCCCAUUGGUUCUGUGGCUGCUGCUCGCCAGGAUUCUCCCAUUUAAAAUGCCCAGACGUGGCUGAAAGCCUCCUCAGUAGUAUCUGACUGACAAGCUACCACGCAUCUUAGGUAAAUAGUAAAGCCUUUAUUUUCUUGUUAAGAACAGCAUUUUGAAAAUAAAACCUAUCUGCCCAUGCUUAA